GGUGUGUCCCCAGGGGAGGGUCUGAGCGCUAGGUCUUUCCUGGGAUGCGUGUGUGAGCCUACGUCGGCUUCCUCAUUCUCGGGUUUAGACACAGUGACCUCACAUACUCUGACAUGGAGAGUCAGAGCUCAGUAGCACUGUCCCUAGAGAGAGAAGGGGCCACUCCUGGCUUGUCCUGUCCACGGUGCACAUCCUGCCUGCCCCAAGUGCUACGCAGGGACAUGGGCUCCAGGCUGACCUCUCAGAACGAGGGCCUGCACCUUCCUUCUGGAUGCCCCGUUCCAGGACCCAGAGGCACGACUGGUCCUUAUUCCUUAUUGGGGAGGGUCCUCUCACUGUGCCUGGGAUUCUUCCAUCAGCAUUAACUACGUUCUUUUAACAAAGACAUCAUAACUUCUCCAAAGGAAACUCGAUGCAUUCCAGUGGAAGCAGGAAAUGCAAAUGCACAGGACACAGAGAUGUUUCUGAAAACUUGGGUAAAAACACACAGGAGGGGUAUCGAGGAGGGGCCGGGUGGAGACUGCUUCUUCAGAUUCUCUUCCGCUUCUCUGUUAACGACAUGCCUCUCCUGGACCCCAGGGUGUUAAAGAUCCAGGGACCCCCAGGAGGGCCACCGUCCCCUGGGGCUCUACUUCCAAUUCCCAGGGAGGGAGAGUCUGGUUGGGAGCCACUCAGCUACCAACUCAAGUGUAUGGCUGUCAAGGGGGCGUAUCGUGAACGGCAGACACCCAGACGGGUGACCUGAAGCAGGUGGAGAAUGAAGCCACGUCACCCCAUCCAACCCUCUGGCGCAUGGAGCAAGCAUGGUCUGAGAGCCUGCGGUGGCCGGCAGCACCGUGAGAAGCCGUGAAAGUCCACCAACUGCCCUCUGGUCUGCGGGCGGCGCCUGGCCAAGCUGCAUUCUGCUCCUCGUCAAUCCGGGCCCAAGCUGGGCUCCUUGGCUCAGGGCUUUGGGCUUCCAACAAACGGGCUUGGCUCGGGAGUCAGCCUGCGGUCAUCUGCAGGUGAUCCACGGGACGCUGGCCUCUGCCUGGCAGACCCUGUUGGCAAAGUUAUUGCCCGUUAACAGAUUCUCGCGGCCCUAACGCCCACCUUGGAGGACAGCUGGGGCUGUGAUCGCAGCGUGUUCCUUUCUCUGCUUCAUUACCGCGCUGUGGGUGUCUCUGCGCCUCUGUUUACUUUGCCUCCUGCGCAGCUGAAAGCCAGGUGCCACCUGCUCUGGGGAAGGUUAGCGAG
rnacentral:lncRNA from 1 species